UCUCUGCGAGAACUGAAACUCGGUUCUGAAGUGCAGGAUAGUUAUUUUUAAAUAAAGAAAAUAGCUAGCCUCGUACUCGGAAUCGAAGAUCAGUUAGUGCA